GAUGAACGCUGGCGGCGUGCCUAAUACAUGCAAGUCGAGCGAAUGGAUUAAGAGCUUGCUCUUAUGAAGUUAGCGGCGGACGGGUGAGUAACACGUGGGUAACCUGCCCAUAAGACUGGGAUAACUCCGGGAAACCGGGGCUAAUACCGGAUAACAUUUUGAACCGCAUGGUUCGAAAUUGAAAGGCGGCUUCGGCUGUCGCUUAUGGAUGGACCCGCGUCGCAUUAGCUAGUUGGUGAGGUAACGGCUCACCAAGGCAACGAUGCGUAGCCGACAUGAGGGGGUAAUGGGCACACUGGGACUGAGACACGGCCCAGACUCCUUCGGGAGGCAGCAGUAGGGAAUCUUCCGCAAUGGACGAAAGUCUGACGGAGCAACGCCGCGUGAGUGAUGAAGGCUUUCGGGUCGUAAAACUCUGUUGUUAGGGAAGAACAAGUGCUAGUUGAAUAAGCUGGCACCUUGACGGUACCUAACCAGAAAGCCACGGCUAACUACGUGCCAGCCGCCGCGGUAA
rnacentral:rRNA from 1 species